ACUAUUUCUUUUACGGAAUAUGUACGACCCGUUACUUUGCCAACAAAUGACUUGCCAGAGGAAGGUGGCGCAAGAGUAGUAAUAGCUGCGUGGGGUAAAGAAGAAGUAGGUGAAGCUACAGAAAUGUUACGAUACGCCACAACAACUACGCGUUCAUACUACUCAGAGGUUCCAGGAUUCGUUACAACAUCUAUGAGCUCUAACACGGGCGAUUGUCUAUUUGAUCUUGGAGCUCCUUUGUUAAAUCAGGCCAAUGAACUAGUAGCAAUUGCAUUUCUUUCUUUCGAAUGCAAGAAACGUAUGUAUUUUGCGGAUUAACAACUUUAGAUUCAA